rnacentral:tRNA from 1 species
GGAGGGAUGCCGGAGCGGUUGAACGGGACAGUCUUGAAAACUGUUAGGCCUUCACGGGCCUCGUGAGUUCGAAUCUCACUCCCUCCG